rnacentral:rRNA from 1 species
AUUGAACGCUGGCGGAAUGCUUUACACAUGCAAGUCGGACGGCAGCACGGACUUCGGUCUGGUGGCGAGUGGCGAACGGGUGAGUAAUGUAUCGGAACGUGCCCAGUCGUGGGGGAUAACGUAGUGAAAAUUACGCUAAUACCGCAUACGAUCUAUGGAUGAAAGCGGGGGAUCGCAAGACCUCGCGCGAUUGGAGCGGCCGAUAUCAGAUUAGGUAGUUGGUGGGGUAAAGGCCCACCAAGCCAACGAUCUGUAGCUGGUCUGAGAGGACGGACAGCCACACGGGAACUGAGACACGGUCCAGACUCCUGCGGGCGGCAGCAGUGGGGAAUUUUGGACAAUGGGCGAAAGCCUGAUCCAGCCAUUCCGCGUGCAGGAUGAAGGCCCUCGGGUUGUAAACUGCUUUUGUACAGAACGAAAAGGUUUCUACUAAUACUAGGAGCUCAUGACGGUACUGUAAGAAUAAGCACCGGCUAACUACGUGCCAGCCGCCGCCGUAA